GCCAUGAGUCUCUUUGUAUUCUUGACCGAUCUUUGAAAACCUUCCAAUGAUGCCUAACAUAUCUUAAAUUGUGUGUGUGUUUUUUUUAAUUUAAUUCAAUACAUUUGGAAUGAUAUCAUAGAAAUUGAAAACCAACAAUACUUCAAACAAGUCAAAACAAAACUACUACAUAGGUGAUCCUCUUAGUAAUUGGAUAGAAAAAAAUUACAAACCUCACUAGCUAGGCUAUUUAUCUAUUUAAAAUCGAAAAAAAAAAAUUGCCUCCAUCUAUUAUGUUAGGCAUCAUUGGACGGUUUCCCACUUAUGUUGAAGACAAACAGAAAAUGUAACACAGACAGAAACAUUAUCCCAAGACUCAAUCCCCAAAUAAUCAAAUAUUGCAUUGAAUAGCCACUUUAUCAGACACUGACACAUCCGAGACCCCCAACUGCAAGUGAGACUGAGUUAGAAAUAAUUAAUUAAAAGGAGAUAAAUGUUAGUGCUAAGUUAGCUCAGAACAAAGUAUCUUUCAUCAACGGCAAGAGUAUGAAUGAAAAUGUUCCUACACAAUAGGUUAUGACUAUGACCAAUUCAAGGUAGCAACAAAUCACAUUUUGUGUUUACCCUGCGGUCUACAUUAUACAAAAUGGCCACAAUUGGGUUUAUUUCAUCUUCCCCCUGUAUUAUAAAAACAGGGAGCUGAAUCUCCGAGCCCUUGUUCACUCCUAAAUCACAGUUUUGUGGAUGAUUUGAUUCACGUUCACUUAAUUUGAUUUUAUGUUGAAAAUCAUUCUUAGUUAAAACUAAUUUUAAAUUUACCCAAAUUUCGGUAGCUUUUAAAUUUUGUUAGAUAAAAUAAGUUUAGUGAUACUAGACAUGUUUGGAUUCGCAUUCACAUUACUACUCAAACGUGGAUCACAUCUUGACUUUUUAAUUACUUUUUGUUUUGAUACAUCUUGAAGUGGAAAUUUCACAUUCCCAUUACUCAAACAUGAAUCACAAAAGCAACUUUUUGGUAAAUCUUACCGUGAAAAUUCGAUCAAAUUCGAUCAAACGCGAAUUAAAGAUCUUAAUCCAAACACACACUAAAUUUCACUACUACUAACUUACUUUUAAAAUAUAAAAAAAUUAAAUAUAAAUCAGAUAACUUAAAAAAUCAAUUUUCCGGACGCUCACUUUUCUUUUUUAGGAACAGACAACACUCACUUAAUCCAAAUUUUCACGAGCACAUUUUUUUUUCCAACCACCUUAAAAAAAAAAACCCUUCUCAGUACUCACUACAAAACUCAGCUUUUGGAUCCGAAAAAGCACAUGAAAAGUUAGUUCAAACCCAAAACUACACAUAAAUCAAUCAAAAGCAAAACACCGCCACCAAAAAACAGUCAGAUCUAUGCAUUUCCCAUAUCCAAAAAGAAGAAAAAUCUUUGCUUUUGUUAUUUAUUAUUAUUUCCAUAAAAAGAUAACAAAAAGAACAAGUAAAGAAGAACAGACAGUUACAGUAACAGCAAUGGUGGUGUGUUUUUCCUUUUCUUUGCUUAGUAACCUAUAACGAAAUGAUACCUCAGAUCCCGGGAACCGGAUCAGCCGGUGUAGAUAUGGAUUUUAACGGCGAGGAUGAGGACGGAGUAGAGCGCGAAGAAGAUGAGCGUGUGGAUGAAAAUGGCUUUGCCGUUGGUCUUCAUGCUACCGAACUCAAGCUGCUUCCCGUUCCCAGGAAAGGAGAAAAGCAGCCCCGGUUGGAGCAGCACGAACAGAACUACCCCGAUCAAAACCGUUGCCCAAUCAGCCAUUUUCUCACUGACCCAGAAAAUUAAAAUUAAAAAAAAAUGUGGCUUUCUUUGAAGAAAAGAGUAAAGGUUGUAGCUUUUUAGGGCGAUGCUUGGUAUACUUUGUAUUUUUGGGAGAGACACUGAUUAUUAAUGAAGGAAGAUGCAACGAAAGGGAAGAAUUUGGAAGCACGAGAAAAAGGGUGGCAGAACGAAGCGAGUGUUUGGCGUGGCUAUGCUAUUCUGUGCUCGGGACUAGGGUAUUGGGGUUUUGUGUUAACGUAGAUAUCCGGAUCUGGAUUUUAUUUGUUUCGGGUUCGGUUUAGUGGAACUGAUUUUUGCCUCGCUCUUAUCUAUUUGUCUAUGCUUAAGCUUAGUUGUGACUUGUCGGUCAUCAUUCCAUAAUUAUAUUAAAUAAGUCUGUUUGGACAACAAUCAAAU
rnacentral:lncRNA from 1 species